CGCGUGGAGGGGGAUAACUACUGGAAACGGUAGCUAAUACCGCAUAACGUCGCAAGACCAAAGAGGGGGACCUUGGGCCUCUUGCCAUCGGAUGUGCCCAGAUGGGAUUAGCUAGUAGGUGGGGUAACGGCUCACCUAGGCGACGAUCCCUAGCUGGUCUGAGAGGAUGACCAGCCACACUGGAACUGAGACACGGUCCAG
rnacentral:rRNA from 1 species